AACGAACGCUGGCGGCGUGUUUAAGACAUGCAAGUCGCACGGUGUCAUUUUGGUAGCAAUACUUGGAUGGCACAGUGGCGCACGGGUGAGUAACACGUGAAUGACAUGCCCUUCAGAGGGGGAUAGCCCAGGGAAACUUGGAUUAAUACCCCAUGGUCUCGCGAGAGUAAAGGUGGCCGCAAGGCUGUCGCUGGAGGAUUGGUUCGCGUUCUAUCAGCUUGUUGGCGGGGUAACGGCCCACCAAGGCUACGACGGAUACCUGGUCUGAGAGGACGAUCAGGCACACUGGAACUGAGACACGGUCCAGACACCUACGGGUGGCAGCAGUCGAGAAUAAUUCACAAUGGGGGCAACCCUGAUGGUGCAACGCCGCGUGGAGGAUGAAGGUCUUCGGAUUGUAAACUCCUGUCAUCCGGGAGCAAGACCUGGCCGUGAAUAGCGGACAGGGUUGAUAGUACCGGAAGAGGAAGGGACGGCUAACUUCGUGCCAGCAGCCGCCGUAACAC
rnacentral:rRNA from 1 species